CUACUUAGCCAGCAGGGAAAAUACCACCACCAGGAAGGCGCUUUACUCAAGGUGAGGCUCGUCCACUGCACUGGGGAUGUGCUGACCCCUGUGACUUCCCCACAAGUAGGAAACUCAAUUGCAUGAUCUGUGGUAGUGGGGGGGGGGCUGCAUUUGCACUCUGCCA
ensembl:snRNA U1 U1 spliceosomal RNA